rnacentral:rRNA from 1 species
CCUACGGGAGGCAGCAGUGGGGAAUAUUGGGCAAUGGGCGCAAGCCUGACCCAGCAACGCCGCGUGAAGGAAGAAGGCUUUCGGGUUGUAAACUUCUUUUGUCAGGGAAGAGAAGAAGACGGUACCUGACGAAUAAGCCACGGCUAACUACGUGCCAGCAGCCGCGGUAAUACGUAGGUGGCAAGCGUUGUACGGAUUUACGGGGUGUAAAGGGCGUGUAGACGGGUUGACAAGUCAGAUGUGAAAUCCUGCGGCUUAACCGCAGAACUGCAUUUGAAACUGUUGAUCUUGAGUACUGGAGAGGCAGGCGGAAUUCCUGGUGUAGCGGUGAAAUGCGUAGAUAUUAGGAGGAACACCAGUGGCGAAGGCGGUCUGCUGGACCGCAACUGACGGUGAGGCGCGAAAGCGUGGGGAGCAAACAGGAUUAGAUACCCCAGUAGUC